ACGACGACGUUGAUAGGCCGGGUGUGUAAGCGCAGCGAUGCGUUGAGCUAACAAGCGUGGACGCCAGUCUGCGUGGAGCCAACCUUGAAAUACCACCCUUUAAUGUUUGAUGUUCUAACGUGGACCCGUAAUCCGGGUUGCGGACAGUGUCUGGUGGGUAGUUUGACUGGGGCGGUCUCCUCCUAAAGCGUAACGGAGGAGCACGAA
rnacentral:rRNA from 1 species